rnacentral:rRNA from 1 species
UACGUAGGGGGCAAGCGUUGUCCGGAUUCAUUGGGCGUAAAGAGCGUGUAGGCGGCCAGGUAGGUCGGUUGUGAAAACUGGAGGCUCAACCUUCAGAGGUCGACCGAAACCAUCUGGCUAGAGUCCGGGAGAGGAGAGUGGAAUUCCUGGUGUAGCGGUGAAAUGCGCAGAUAUCAGGAGGAACACCAGUGGCGAAGGCGACUUUCUGGCCUGUUCUUGACGCUGAGGCGCGAAAGCUAGGGUAGCAAACGGG